rnacentral:hammerhead_ribozyme from 1 species
GUACUGAUGAAGAGUCCAAAUAUAAGACGAAACAGCUGUCCAGUAC